GCUGUCAAUGCUCACAAGCGCCGCCACAAGACAAAAGAAGGAGGAAGCAGCGAUCACUUCCUGGAUAGAAAUCUUUUCCUGGAGUUUCAAGAUGUGGAGUCUUGAAGGUGUCUUGCACACCUGAGACAGGAGGAAGUGUGUUGGAUAACAUGAACACACCACAGGACUGGAUCUUCACACCUGGAUCUCCACAGCAGGGACUAUCAGGGGUGGUGUUCCUGCCUCCUGGCUUUCAUGUCAGCUCCUCGACGAGAGCGAUGUCCUCUUCCCUGUCAGGAGCUCACGUAUUUGACGACA